rnacentral:rRNA from 1 species
UACGGGGGGAGCAAGCGUUGUCCGGAAUUAUUGGGCGUAAAGCGCGUGUAGGCGGCUCGGUAAGUCUGCUGUGAAAGUCCAGGGCUCAACCCUGGAAUGCCGGUGGAUACUGUCGAGCUCGAGUCCGGAAGAGGCGAGUGGAAUUCCUGGUGUAGCGGUGAAAUGCGCAGAUAUCAGGAGGAACACCAAUGGCGAAGGCAGCUCGCUGGGACGGUACUGACGCUGAGACGCGAAAGCGUGGGGAGCAAACAG